CGUAGACUCCUACGAGAGGCACAGUGGGAAUAUUGGACAAUGGGCGCAAGCCUGAUCCAGCCAUGCCGCGUGAGUGAUGAAGGCCUUAGGGUUGUAAAGCUCUUUCGCUAGGGAAGAUAAUGACGGUACCUAGUAAAGAAGCCCCGGCUAACUUCGUGCCAGCAGCCGCGGUAAUACGAAGGGGGCUAACGUUGUUCGGAUUUACUGGGCGUAAAGCGCACGUAGGCGGAUUAGUAAGUUAGGGGUGAAAUCCCAAGGCUCAACCUUGGAACUGCCUUUAAUACUGCUAAUCUAGAGAUCGGGAGAGGUGUAUGGAACUCCUAGUGUAGAGGUGGAAUUCGUAGAUAUUAGGAAGAACACCAGUGGCGAAGGCGAUACACUGGCCCGAUACUGACGCUGAGGUGCGAAAGCGUGGGAGCAAACAGGAUUAGAUACCCUGGUAG
rnacentral:rRNA from 1 species